AGUAAGUCAGUGCUGUCUCUGCCUAGUUAGGCUCAGAUCCAAAUGGAGUCAGAGCUGGGCACAAACAGCUCAGCAUCUCAGCCCUUUUUCUGAAACAUCACUACGGCAAGCAGCCCAGAUAGUGAAGAUGGCAAGAACUAGCUUUGUCGGUUUUGCUUGAUGCAUGUGAAAAGUCUUCAUUUGAAAGUUUGCUAAGCAACAAAUCCUUCAAAUAGAACAGCUUCAACUCUGCUCUGCCUUGAAAGCACACAUUCAUGAAGAAACUGGAGAGCUGCUUCAUCAGUGCCAAUCCAGUCUGUGGCUGGUCUCAUGAAAAGGCUCUUAUUGAUGAAUUAGUGCAGCUACCCUCCCAGACAUGGAAGAAUACCUCAUACAAAAAAAUCCAUAGGUGACUAACAGGUGUGGUAAGCAGCCUGUGAGAUUUGGGAGAAACAUUCUGGUAUACCUGGAAAUCAACCUAGAUCUAAAUUACCUGCCAUUGUGGAUAUUUUAGUCUUAAUUGAU